UACGAACCGUCCAAACGUUACUCGGAAUCACUGGGCUUAAAGGGUGCGUAGGCCGCGCGGAGGGUGGGAUGUGAAAUCCCCCGGCUCAACCGGGGAAUGGCGUCCCAAACCGCCGUGCUCGAGGGAGACAGAGGUGAGCGGAACUGAUGGUGGAGCGGUGAAAUGCGUUGAUAUCAUCAGGAACACCAGUGGCGAAAGCGGCUCACUGGGUCUUUCCUAACGCUGAGGCACGAAAGCUAGGGGAGCGAACGGG
rnacentral:rRNA from 1 species